rnacentral:lncRNA from 1 species
GGAACUUCCUGAUGGAGGUGUUGCCUAUUGAUUUUAUUGUAGUUUAUAUUUCUUUUUUUUUUUGGGGUCCUUCUGUAGAAAUGAGGUUUAUUUUCCAUUUUGGAGAGAAUUCUAUUCAUGUAAUUUCCUACGGGAAUCGUUUUCACUGAUUUUUCCAACUGCACUCACCUGAUUCUCUGGUACAGUACUGUAUCUAUGUACUCGUGAAAAAUGUAAUUGUUAA